CUGAGCUUGGAACAGCGCGGGGCGGCUGGGAUGGUGAAAUGGUGGAAUGGUGAUGGAAUCCUGCAGUGGUUCGGGUUGCAAGGGACCUUAAAGCUCAUGCAGCCCCACUGCCUGAGCAGGGACACCUUCCCCUAGCCCAGGGAAAAAGGCUGGAGCAAGAGGUUCCAAAAAGAACGGGGCUUUCUGCACGACGAAACCCGGGAGUGCCCGAUCCUGCCUGGAAGGAGGGGGGGGUGAACGGGCGGUGGGCGCCGCCAUGAAAGGAGCCGAGGGGCAGGGACUUGUCCGUACAAGGAGUGUCGGGGCGUGCCCAUGGCCAUAAAAGGACAGGACAAAGCAUUGAACUGGGAGAAGUUCUGCCAAAUCUUUGGGGUGUGUGCAGCCACAGGGAAGAGGCUCCAGCCUUGAUGCCCCAGAGAGCAUCAGUGAAAGCAGCACUAUUGCCCUGGCGUGUGCCCACUGCCAAUUGUUCACCCAACACAAUUCCAAA